rnacentral:rRNA from 1 species
GUCGAGCGGAGAUUUAACAAUGAAUCCCUUCGGGGUGGAAUUUUUUAUCUUAUCGGCAUAUGCCUUCUUAAUGGGGACGUAAUCUGCCCCUGUCUGUGGGUUCCCACUGUUGUAAUUGUGCUAAUUGGACAUAAUAUAAGCUUUUGGCAUCAUUAGCUUAUCCGCUAUUUCAUGAUAGGGAUGGGCCCGCGUCUGAUUAGCUAGUUGGUGAGGUAACGGGUCACCAAGGCAACGAUCUCUGACGACCUGACAGGGUGAUCGGCCCUGAGGACCUGACACACUCCCCCGACUCCUACGGGAGGCAAAUCUUCCGAAUAUUGCAAAUGCUGAAAAGCCUGAUGCACGUGACCGCGUGAGCUAUCAGAGCCUUCAGGUCUUACAGCUCUGUCCAAUGGGAUCAUAAUGAAUGUUCCAUAGGAAGAACCCCCGGCUAACUACAUGCCACCAGCCAC